rnacentral:rRNA from 1 species
AAAGGAAUUGACGGGGCCCGCACAAGCGGUGGAGCAUGUGGUUAAUUCGAAGCAACGCGAAGACCUUACCAGGUCUUGACAUCCCGAUGCUAUUUCUAGAGAUAGAAAGUUACUUCGGUACAUCGGUGACAGGUGGCGCAUGGUUGUCGUCAGCUCGUGUCGUGAGAUGUUGGGUUAAGUCCCGCAACGAGCGCAACCCCUAUUGUUAGUUGCCAUCAUUCAGUUGGGCACUCUAGCGAGACUGCCGGUAAUAAACCGGAGGAAGGUGGGGAUGACGUCAAAUCAUCAUGCCCCUUAUGACCUGGGCUACACACGUGCUACAAUGGUUGGUACAACGAGUUGCGAGUCGGUGACGGCGAGCUAAUCUCUUAAAGCCAAUCUCAGUUCGGAUUGUAGGCUGCAACUCGCCUACAUGAAGUCGGAAUCGCUAGUAAUCGCGGAUCAGCACGCCGCGGUGAAUACGUUCCCGGGCCUU